rnacentral:rRNA from 1 species
AACGAACGCUGGCGGCGUGCCUAACACAUGCAAGUCGAACGUAAUUAGAGAGCUUGCUCUCUAUGAAAGUGGCGCACGGGUGAGUAACGCGUAGAUAAUCUACCUGAUGAUUCGGGAUAACACUACGAAAGGGGUGCUAAUACCGAAUAAGCCCACGGAGUCCUUGGACUCUGCGGGAAAAGGGGGGGACCUUCGGGCCUUCCGUCAUCAGAUGAGUCUGCGUACCAUUAGCUAGUUGGUAGGGUAAAGGCCUACCAAGGCGACGAUGGUUAGCUGGUCUGAGAGGAUGAUCAGCCACACUGGAACUGAGACACGGUCCAGACUCCUACGGGAGGCAGCAGUGGGGAAUUUUGCGCAAUGGGGGAAACCCUGACGCAGCAACGCCGCGUGAGUGAUGAAGGCCCUUGGGUCGUAAAGCUCUGACAGAGGGAAAGAAAUGCAGGGGAGCUAAUAUCUCCCUUGCUUGACGGUACCCUCAAAGGAAGCACCGGCUAACUCCGUGCCAGCCGCCGCAGUAA